AGCUCUGUAAGCGUAUACCAAAGUUGUUGCAGUUAAAACGCUCGUAGUCGAAUUUUGGCGGCUUCCGUGAUUUGUCCGCAAGGACAAUUUUGCGGCGGCCGCCUUUGUGGAUGGGGGGUCGAUGGUGCUUUAUUGCCUCGUCGAGUCACCGCCACCGUUUACUGUGAAAAAAUUAGAGUGUUCAAAGCGGGCGAUUGCCAUUGAAUACAUUAGCAUGGAAUAAUAGAAUAGGACCUGAGUCUUAUUCUGUUGGUUUGUUAAGUUCAGGUAAUGAUUAAGAGGGACGGUUGGGGGCAUUUGUAUUCCGGCGCUAGAGGUGAAAUUCUUGGAUUGCCGGAAGACAAACAGCUGCGAAAGCGUCUGCCAAGGACGUUUUCA
rnacentral:rRNA from 1 species